rnacentral:rRNA from 1 species
UACGGGGGGGGUAAGCGUUGUUCGGAAUUACUGGGCGUAAAGGGCUCGUAGGCGGCCAACUAAGUCGGACGUGAAAUCCCUCGGCUUAACCGGGGAACUGCGUCUGAUACUGGAUGGCUUGAGUUUGGGAGAGGGAUGCGGAAUUCCAGGUGUAGCGGUGAAAUGCGUAGAUAUCGAGAGGAACACCUGCGGCGAAGGCGGGUUGCUGGGCUGAUACUGACCGUGGAGGCGCGAAAGCCAGGGGAGCGAACGGGG